AACGCAACACUGUUAGAGAUAAAAUUAUGGCCUCCUGUCAUUUGUGACUUCAUGUGACAGUAUGGUGAUGCUGAAUGUCAGAACUUUAUGUACAACAAUGGGCAAC